GACGAACGCUGGCGGCGUGCCUAAUACAUGCAAGUAGAACGCAGUUGCGAACGGGUGAGUAACGCGUAGGUAACUGCCUCAUAGCGGGGGAUAACUAUUGGAAACGAUAGCUAAUACCGCAUACUGUGAGAUGGACCUGCGUUGUAUUAGCUAGGUGGUGAGGUAACGGCUCACCAAGGCGACGAUACAUAGCCGACCUGAGAGGGGGAUCGCCCCCACGUGGCCUGAGCCACGGCCCAGACUCCUCCGGGAGGCAGCAGUAGGGAAUCUUCGGAAAUGGACGGAAGUCGGACCCGGCAACCCCGCGUGAGUGAAGAAGGUUUUCGGAUCGUAAAGCAUGGUUGUUAGGGAAGCGUAAACUAACCAGAAAGGAACGGCUAACUCCUGGCAGCAGCCGCGGUAAUAC
rnacentral:rRNA from 1 species